AUUGAACGCUGGCGGCAUGCCUUACACAUGCAAGUCGAACGGCAGCACGGACUUCGGUCUGGUGGCGAGUGGCGAACGGGUGAGUAAUGUAUCGGAACGUACCAUUCAGUGGGGGAUAACGUAGCGAAAGUUACGCUAAUACCGCAUAUUCUCUCCGGAGGAAAGCAGGGGACCGCAAGGCCUUGCGCUGAUUGAGCGGCCGAUAUCAGAUUAGCUAGUUGGUGGGGUAACGGCUCACCAAGGCGACGAUCUGUAGCGGGUCUGAGAGGAUGAUCCGCCACACUGGAACUGAGACACGGUCCAGACUCCUACGGGAGGCAGCAGUGGGGAAUUUUGGACAAUGGGCGCAAGCCUGAUCCAGCCAUGCCGCGUGAGUGAAGAAGGCCUUCGGGUUGUAAAGCUCUUUCGGCCGGGAAAAAAUCGCAUGGGCUAAUACCCUGUGUGGAUGAUGGUACCGGAAUAAGAAGCACCGGCUAACUACGUGCCAGCAGCCGCGGUAAUACGUAGGGUGCGAGCGUUAAUCGGAAUUACUGGGCGUAAAGCGUGCGCAGGCGGUUUUGUAAGACAGGCGUGAAAUCCCCGGGCUCAACCUGGGAACUGCGCUUGUGACUGCAAGGCUAGAGUAUGGCAGAGGGGGGUGGAAUUCCACGUGUAGCAGUGAAAUGCGUAGAGAUGUGGAGGAACACCGAUGGCGAAGGCAGCCCCCUGGGCCAAUACUGACGCUCAUGCACGAAAGCGUUGGUAGCAAACAGGAUUAGAUACCCUGGUAGUCCACGCCCUAAACGAUGUCAACUAGGUGUUGGGUGGGUAAAACCAUUUAGUACCGGAGCUAACGCGUGAAGUUGACCGCCUGGGGAGUACGGCCGCAAGGUUAAAACUCAAAGGAAUUGACGGGGACCCGCACAAGCGGUGGAUGAUGUGGAUUAAUUCGAUGCAACGCGAAAAACCUUACCUACCCUUGACAUGUCCAGAAGCCCGGAGAGAUUUGGGUGUGCCCGAAAGGGAGCUGGAACACAGGUGCUGCAUGGCUGUCGUCAGCUCGUGUCGUGAGAUGUUGGGUUAAGUCCCGCAACGAGCGCAACCCUUGUCGUUAAUUGCCAUCAUUCGGUUGGGCACUUUAACGAGACUGCCGGUGACAAACCGGAGGAAGGUGGGGAUGACGUCAAGUCCUCAUGGCCCUUAUGGGUAGGGCUUCACACGUCAUACAAUGGUCGGUACAGAGGGUUGCCAACCCGCGAGGGGGAGCCAAUCCCAGAAAGCCGAUCGUAGUCCGGAUUGCAGGCUGCAACUCGCCUGCAUGAAGUCGGAAUCGCUAGUAAUCGCGGAUCAGCAUGCCGCGGUGAAUACGUUCCCGGGUCU
rnacentral:rRNA from 1 species